rnacentral:rRNA from 1 species
UAAGCAGAGCGUGAAAGCGUACGGCUCAACCGUAUAUACAUGUUCUGAACUGGUAAACUAGAGGAUGAGAGAGGUUAUUGGAAUUGCUAGUGUAGGAGUGAAAUCCGUAGAUAUUAGCAGGAACACCGAUGGCGUAGGCAGAUAACUGGCUCAUACCUGACACUAAGGCACGAAAGCGUGGGGAGCGAACGGGAUUAGAUACCCCGGUAGUCCACGCCGUAAACGAUGGAUGCUA